rnacentral:rRNA from 1 species
UCCAGACUCCUACGGGAGGCAGCAGUGGGGAAUAUUGCACAAUGGGGGAAACCCUGAUCCAGCGACGCCGCGUGAGUGAAGAAGUAUUUCGGUACGUAAAGCUCUCUCAGCAGGAAAGAAAAUGACGGUACCUGACUAAGAAGCCCCGGCUAACUACGUGCCAGCAGCCGCGGUAAUACGUAGGGGGCAAGCGUUAUCCGGAUUUACUGGGUGUAAAGGGAGCGUAGACGGCAGCGCAAGUCUGGAGUGAAAUGCCGGGGCCCAACCCCGGAACUGCUCUGGAAACUGUGAAGCUGGAGUGCAGGAGAGGUAAGCGGAAUUCCUGGUGUAGCGGUGAAAUGCGUAGAUAUCAGGAGGAACACCGGCGGCGAAGGCGGCUUACUGGACUGUAACUGACGUUGAGGCUCGAAGGCGUGGGGAGCAAACAGGAUUAGAUACCCUAGUA